CCUACGGGAGGCAGCAGUGGGGAAUAUUGCACAAUGGGGGAAACCCUGAUGCAGCGACGCCGCGUGGGCGAAGAAGUAUUUCGGUAUGUAAAGUCCUAUCAGCAGGGAAGAAGAAAUGACGGUACCUGAGUAAGAACCACCGGCUAAAUACGGGCAAGCAGCCGCGGUAACACGUAGGGUACACGCGUUAUCCGGAUUUACUGGGUGUAAAGGGCGCGCAGGCGGGACGGCAAGCCUGAUGGGAAAGCCCGGGGCCCAACCGGGGGACUGCAUUGGGAACUACCGGGCUGGAGUGCCGGAGAGGUAGGGGGAAUGCCUAGUGUAGCGGUGAAAUGCGUAGAUAUUAGGAGGAACACCAGUGGGGAAGGCGGCCUACUGGACGGU
rnacentral:rRNA from 1 species